CCUGCAUGUCCCACGGUACCUGCUGCUCUGCACUUCUUGACCCCUCUCUCAGCUGCAGUUUUCCAGGACUCCAGCACAGCAAAGCAGGUAGCUGGAUCAUGGCAAUUUUGCUGCCUCUGGUAAUUCGCCACCCUGGGUAAUCACCUAAUUUAUUGCGCCUGGUGCUGGUCCUAGAGUAACAGCCUUUGUCUCUGGGGGGAUUGCUACCACCACAAGGCAACUGUUUGGGUUGUACCUGUACUCAGUCUCUUACGUGAUGUAGCGGUGCAGUAGCAUGGGACAAGUGGCUCUGCUAGCUGGUGGGUCCAUUGCUUUAUUAAAUUUCUGGUUCCCCUUUAAAAUUAGGUGAAGUAUAUUGUCUUCCUGAAAAGUCUUAAGUCCCGUACUUGGUAUAUACUUAGUAUAUACCUAGUGAUUUUGAAACAACAACAACGAAAUGCUUAAUUUGCCAAUGUUCUACAAUGUUGUUGCCAAGAUUGGAAGAGCGAUAAAGAUUACUUGAUUAAUUUGUUGCUAUAUUAGAGACAGGCUGAAAUCUCCAGCUGUGCAAUGCAGGAACAUUUUGAAGCAGGAAAUAACAGGGACAAGACAACAGCAUUCCUGUGCUUGAGUGGACAUUCAGAAUACUCAAGGAAUGUAUCGGACCAGAAUGAAGGCAGGUGCUUUUAAUACAGAAGGAGCUUCUGCCUCUGGAGGAAACCCCCCUUCCCCUCUCCUGCUGCUUAUGAAGUAUUGUUGCCUCUCUGAUGCCAUCCCAUCCCUUACUUCUGCUUAG
rnacentral:lncRNA from 1 species